rnacentral:misc_RNA from 1 species
UGUGAACUGCAGGACACACGAACAUCGACAAUUCGAACGCACAUUGCGGUCCGGGAAACGCCUCGGCGUUCCGGGACCACGUCAGGCUGAGGGUCGUUUUCUACGAAAGCGGCAAGGUCUCGUCGCGACCGAGUCGGCGGCGCCGAUCCGAACAGGAACGCCCCCGAGCUACGAGUCGCGACCACCUUGCGCUUGCCGAGACUGUCGUCGUGCUUGCACGACGGCGAGAUUGAAAGUUGUUCGCAGUCUCCGCAGAGGGACUGCGUCUUUUUGAAAUACACACGCGCAUACAACGCACGCACGCACGUCGUGCCGUCGCUGUUGUCGUCGCCGUUGUGAUGAAAUUGUGCGGAAAGAGAACCGAAAGGUUAAUUUUUUUGUAGCAGCCGCACGCAAAGUGGUCGCCUUCUGCCGCCCCCGGCGUACGGCGCGACGUAUUCUCUCGCCGCCACGUGCGCGUGAGAAUAUCGUAUGCUGGCCUCGUCGUGUGCGGAUUGGUGGAAGCGUGCACCGGCUGAAGCGUGCGUGCCCACGCAAAAACGUGGCGUGUACCCACGUGCUUGUGCGAACAGAGCAAAUCAAACGCUCCGCAUCGCGUCGAUCGAAUCGGGCGACGUUGUCCGUCGCCCCUCUCGCCAUUUCGUGAUCGCAUGUCCGCGCCGCCGACGUGUCGUAGAACGUAGCGUACGAACGAAAGAACGAGCUCCAGUCUCGCUUCCUCCAGUAGUCGCUCUUCUCGUCGACGUCCGGCCGGCAGGCGUUUCAGACUAGGUCGAGACACGAAAGUGUGCGUCGAGAGGGAGCGCCGACUCCUCGAUUCGAUUUUUUCGGUCUUUUGGUGCGCGUGACCGAUCGCGAUGCGGGGACGAGCUCACCCUAAUUUUCUGAUGUCGAAGACAUGCACACAACAACUCGCGUCGGCGUUUAUCACGUCGUCGUAGUACCGUCGUGUGGCAGAGUUCGCAUUCGUGCGUGCAGUGUGGCACACACCCUUUCGCACGGUUCUUUUUUCAAUGAUGCACAAUACAACAACACACACACGACCUCAGUUCGGGCGAGAUCACCCGCUAAACUUAAGCAUAUCGCUAAGCGGAGGAAAAGAAACUAACUAGGAUUCCCUUAGUAGCUGCGAGCGAACAGG